CCCUUAGACACUCUAGGCGGCACGCGCGCUACAAUGGGCGGGAGAACGUGUUACUGCCACUGAAAAGUGGGGUGAAUCACGAAUCCUUGCCCGUGAAUGGGAUAGUUUGUUGCAAUUUUCGGACUUGAACUAGGAAUCCCUUGUAAGCAUGCUCAAGAAUAGCGUGUUGAAUACGUCCCUGCCCUUUGUACACACCGCCCGUCGCUCCUACCGAUUGAAUGUUCCGGUGAGCUCUUCGGACUGCGCGGUCUGCAGUUUCUGCGUUCCGUGCGGAAAGUUGCGCAAACCUUAACAUUUAGAGGAAGGAGAAGUCGUAACA
rnacentral:rRNA from 1 species